rnacentral:rRNA from 1 species
AGUGAACGCUGGCGGUAGGCCUAACACAUGCAAGUCGAACGGCAGCACAGUAAGAGCUUGCUCUUACGGGUGGCGAGUGGCGGACGGGUGAGGAAUACAUCGGAAUCUACUUUUUCGUGGGGGAUAACGUAGGGAAACUUACGCUAAUACCGCAUACGACCUACGGGUGAAAGCAGGGGAUCUUCGGACCUUGCGCGAUUGAAUGAGCCGAUGUCGGAUUAGCUAGUUGGCGGGGUAAAGGCCCACCAAGGCGACGAUCCGUAGCUGGUCUGAGAGGAUGAUAAGCCACACUGGAACUGAGACACGGUCCAGACUCCUACGGGGGGCAGCAGUGGGGAAUAUUGGACAAUGGGCGCAAGCCUGAUCCAGCCAUACCGCGUGGGUGAAGAAGGCCUUCGGGUUGUAAAGCCCUUUUGUUGGGAAAGAAAAGCAGCAGGUUAAUACCCCGCUGUUCUGACGGUACCCAAAGAAUAAGCACCGGCUAACUUCGUG